rnacentral:rRNA from 1 species
AGUGAACGCUGGCGGCAGGCCUAACACAUGCAAGUCGAGCGGCAGCACGGGUAGCAAUACCUGGUGGCGAGCGGCGGACGGGUGAGGAAUACAUCGGAAUCUGCCUUGUUGUGGGGGAUAACGUAGGGAAACUUACGCUAAUACCGCAUAAGACCGAGAGGUGAAAGCGGGGGAGUCGAAAGACCUCGCGCGACAAGAUGAGCCGAUGUCGGAUUAGCUAGUUGGCGGGGUAAAGGCCCACCAAGGCGACGAUCCGUAGCUGGUCUGAGAGGAUGAUCAGCCACACUGGAACUGAGACACGGUCCAGACUCCUACGGGAGGCAGCAGUGGGGAAUAUUGGACAAUGGGCGCAAGCCUGAUCCAGCCAUGCCGCGUGGGUGAAGAAGGCC